GUGUCAGCCGCCGCGGUAAAACGUAGGAGGCGAGCGUUAUCCGGAUUCACUGGGCGUAAAGCGCGCGUAGGCGGUUGGGUAAGUCGGAUGUGAAAGCCCCUGGCUCAACUGGGGGAGGCCAUUCGAUACUGCUCGGCUUGAGGGUGAGAGAGGGAAGUGGAAUUCCCGGUGUAGCGGUGGAAUGCGUAGAGAUCGGGAGGAACACCAGUGGCGAAAGCGGCUUCCUGGCUCACCCCUGACGCUGAUAGCGCGAAAGCGUGGGGAGCAAACGGGAUUAGAAACCCGCGUAGUCC
rnacentral:rRNA from 1 species